CCUACGGGAGGCAGCAGUGGGGAAUAUUGCACAAUGGGCGCAAGCCUGAUGCAGCCAUGCCGCGUGUGUGAAGAAGGCCUUCGGGUUGUAAAGCACUUUCAGCGGGGAGGAAGGCGGUGAGGUUAAUAACCUCAUCGAUUGACGUUACCCGCAGAAGAAGCACCGGCUAACUCCGUGCCAGCAGCCGCGGUAAUACGGAGGGUGCAAGCGUUAAUCGGAAUUACUGGGCGUAAAGCGCACGCAGGCGGUCUGUCAAGUCGGAUGUGAAAUCCCCGGGCUCAACCUGGGAACUGCAUUCGAAACUGGCCGGCUAGAGUCUUGUAGAGGGGGGUAGAAUUCCAGGUGUAGCGGUGAAAUGCGUAGAGAUCUGGAGGAAUACCGGUGGCGAAGGCGGCUCCCUGGACAAAGACUGACGCUCAGGUGCGAAAGCGUGGGGAGCAAACAGGAUUAGAUACCCGAGUAGUC
rnacentral:rRNA from 1 species